AUCGCUUUUUCGGGCCCUUUUGGGUAAAUCAAAAUGUAGUAUCCCGUUUUAUCCCCCUUAAAAAUUGAUCCCAUCCCCAGUGGGAUCUAAAGAUAUUAAACUGAUUUUUUGGAAAAAGGCGAAGUGAAAGGGGGUUGCCCCCACCUUUUCCGCGGAAAGGCCCGGUUUUAGCAUACCUCCGGGAUUGGGGCCACUCCCU